rnacentral:rRNA from 1 species
GAUGAACGCUGGCGGCGUGCCUAAUACAUGCAAGUCGAGCGAACAGACGAGGAGCUUGCUCCUCUGACGUUAGCGGCGGACGGGUGAGUAACACGUGGAUAACCUACCUAUAAGACUGGGAUAACUUCGGGAAACCGGAGCUAAUACCGGAUAAUAUAUUGAACCGCAUGGUUCAAUAGUGAAAGACGGUUGUGGUGUCACGUAUAGAUGGAUCCGCGCCGCAUGAGCUAGUUGGUAAGGUAACGGCUUACCAAGGCAACGAUGCGUAGCCGACCUGAGAGGGUGAUCGGCCACCCUGGAACUGAGACACGGUCCUGACUCCUACGGGAGGCAGCAGUAGGGAAUCUUCCGCAAUGGUCGAAAGCCUGACGGAGCAACGCCGCGUGAGUGAUGAAGGUCUUCCGAUCGUAAAACUCUGCUAUUAGGGAAGAACAAAUGUGUAAGUAACUAUGCACGUCUUGACGGUACCUAAUCAGAAGGCCACGGCUAACUACGUG